rnacentral:tRNA from 1 species
GGCUCUGUGGCGCAAUAGACAGCACAUUAGACUUCUAGGUGAGUGAGGAAGACAUUCAAAGUUUGUGGGUUCGAGUCCCACCAGAGUCA